rnacentral:rRNA from 1 species
CCAAUAGCGUAUAUUAAAGUUGUUGCAGUUAAAAAGCUCGUAGUUGAACUUCAGGCCUGUCCAGAUGGUCCGCCUUAAUUGGUGUGUACUGUCCUUGGGUGGGUCCUACCUUCUGGCGAAGCGGCAUGGCCUUAAUUGGUUGUGUUGGGGAACCAGGACUUUUACUGUGAAAAAAUUAGAGUGUUCAAAGCAGGCAUAUAUGCUCGAAUACAUUAGCAUG